rnacentral:rRNA from 1 species
GGAUGCGAUCAUACCAGCACUAAAGCACCGGAUCCCAUCCGAACUCCGAAGUUAAGCGUGAUUGGGCGAGAGUAGUACUAGGAUGGGUGACCUCCUGGGAAGUCCUCGUGUUGCAUUCC